UGGGCAUGAGCAGUCGAGCAGUCUCUCCCUGGGCCUGCUGCAGAGACUACAUUUCCCAUCCUUCCUUGCGAUAAGCUUCCUGUAACGUGUAAACCCUUUCCCAAAAAAUGUUAACAGCUGAGUUAACAUUGUAAUUUAUUCUUCUUCUAUCCUCAGUGCUUGCUCUGUCCUUCCACUGCUGUUUUGGAUCUUAUCCCUUUUGCCUUUAAGUUGAAUUAUUUUUUCUCUGUGUAGCUUCAGUGCCACUGCUGCAAUCAUGAAACUUUGAACAGAAGAAGAAAAAAGUAAAGGUUUGGAGGUUUCUUCCAUUGAGAGUUUCUGUUCUGGAAAUGAGUGACUAAGGGAAGGUCUGAGUAUACUGGUACAGCUAUAAACUCUCAUUGUGAUGCAUUUGCAAAAAGGGCAAAAUGCAAUUAGAACUAUGUUACAUUGAAAAGAAAAAAAAGAUAAUUGCUGUUAUUAAGAUCUUGAUAAAACGAAUUCUAAAAAAUUAUGUUCAGGAAGAAAGAGGAAAGAGAAACUAGAACUUGAGCAGCUGCAAGUGCAGAACACUGUCAAGGAAACUGAGAACCAGCAAACGACCUUCAGUGGAAAAGACUUGAAUUGUUUACUCUAGCAAACCAGAACUAAACAUCUCUUCCUAAGAAGAGAUGUUAGUGAAAUUCGCAAACAUAUCAAACACAAAUGCAAGGAAGAAAAGGCCUAUCUGUCUAAAGGGCCAUGCUGACACCCAAUAACCGGUUGACAUUACACAAGAAUGAAAGUUUGAGUCCCAGGAAACGUCAGCACUCAGAUACUGAAUCCAAACUGCAAGACAAGAGGGCUGGUCACAGUGGAAGAGGUGGGACAGUGAGGAAGGGACGAGUGGAGGAUUCAUUCUUGCAGGACUUGAAAAUGGGGUACUGGAACAAUAACUGAGUGAACAAAAUGGCUCUGUCCCCAAAGACAAGCAGGGGAAGGAGAGAACUAAUGAAGAAACUAAAGAAAGGCAGACAACAGUGUGAGUCAAAAAGAAUGGCAAGAGUAGAGACAGAAGAUGUAGAAACAAUAGCCGCGAUAUGAUUGCUUCAGCAGAGCAAAGACAAGAAAGAGAGAGACAGAGCUGAGUGCCUGCUUUCUGCAGUGGACAACACAUUCUGAUCCACAAAUAUGCUAGAGCCCAUAAAGAAUUGUAUAAGGACAAGUAGAGAUCCUCAUUUAGUGAACUGACUGAAAUUACUGAAGUCAUGUCUGCAGGUAUCAUCUGAAACCUUGGCCACAGGAUCCUUCAUCUGGAAAGGCAUAAGACACUGUUUAUA